CAGUUGACUUGCAGACUUCCUCCUUAACCCGCAGGUAUGAAAUAAAUCUGUGCUUUAGUUUUGGUACCAGACAGUGGUUUCAGGUAAUGGAUCAGUCAUAAAUCAUUAUGCAAAACAUUAAACAAAAUUCCUAGAGCAAUAGGCCACUCCACUCUCUUAUUGUCCCAGCUCACAGAGAAGGAAAAAUUAGUAAGAAAACCUCCUUUAAAACUGCCUAAGAAAUAAGCUGUCUCUUACUAAUCCAGUAAUAUUGGUGUAUUUUACUUUUUGAAGGUGUCAUCAACCUCCAACUCCCCUCCCCACCCUCCAAAAAAGCCUCAACUAUUCCUCAAACCUGUAUGGGAACAUAAAAGUGAAACAGUUUUGUAAUUUUUCAAAUCCUGAUCUGCCUCAAUCUUGUAACAAAAAUGUUUCACUUCUAAGGACAAGACGUCACUUCAAAAGACAAGUCCCGCAUCCAUCAUACCGAAUCACCUGUAAAAACGAAAAAGGGAGAAGAUAGCAGGGGGAAUAGGAGUAAAUUUGUGGAAGUCUAAAGGAAGAGAAUGUAAGUUGGUAGUCUGGAAGACAGAAGAGUUGCCUUUCAAGCAGGAAGACCACAAAUCAAUUUAUUGUUGCAGAUGAUUCAAAUGGUGGAGCUGAAGAGUAACAGGAUCAGCUGCAGCAGUUUUUUCAUGUGUGACAGCGCCAGCAAAUGAUGGAAGAGCAACUGAUGUGAAGGUGAACCUGUUGUUCUCUGGAAGAUGUAGACGUAAGGAAAAAAUUUUAGGUUUGGUUUUUUUUUUUACUUCAGCAUAGAACUGAAGAAGUUCCUUUUGUCUCCUGCCUUUGCCAUCCAAAGAAUUGCUGGUAAGUACAACAUUGAAUGAAGCAUUCCACUUUGUUCAGGUUUUCUUUUAAAUGGCUUUCAUAGUUAUAAUUUUAUUUCAGAGGUAAUUUAAAGGGGAAGUUCAAAGAAGAUGAUUAGAUAUUACCUAAAAAUUCUACGUACUGUCAUUUACACUAUGCCUAGAUUCCUCAUAAUUUCAGAAAAUGCAAGAAAUGUAAAUGAACUAAAAAUUAUAGGGCUAAAAUGCAAACAAGUUACUUAGAGUUCUGGUAAAUAGCAUUUCUUCUAAUACUAUUUUUAUUAUUUCUUGGUGCAUCUUAAGAACCUUUUAUUUCCUUAAUUAGUGUUAAUUCCAAUUAAAAAUGGAGGAUACUACUUCAUUCUGCUGAUUGAAAAUGAGAUACACCCCCCUGUUGUAGCUUUAGAGCAUGGAAGGUUCUAGGGCUCUAGAAAUCUCUCUAAGACUUCAGUGACUGUGAGCAGUUAUCAUCUGAUGGUUGUUCAGCAGCCUAUGUGAAAUGAAUUAGUAAAUUUUUGGAGCAGCAUAAACAAGCCUGCAAUGCUGUGCUGCCUAUUCUCUACAUAAAUAGACAGGCCAG